CAGCAGUUCUCCACUAGGUAUAAAUCCUACAGUGUUGACAAUGCACUAUUUCAUGACCUGGGUUAUACAGCAGUUUAGCUUUAUAAUUACUCAUAAGCUGUAUAAUAGUUGUAAAUUGGUGUUGCACAUGCAUGUUUUACAGGAUAAAAGUAGAUCUGCUUUAAAUUUAUUAAUGGGAACCAUUUCUAAAUAUGAUUUUUAUUUAAGGGCUCAAUAAUUAUAAUUUUAAUUAUGUUUUUAAAACUGUAACACAUGAAUGAAUAUAUUCUUUCUUUUUCCACUUUUGACAGUUAGGUUUUCUGAGAUAGAACUCCCAACAGCAUAAAUGCCCCGUUUUAUAGGUGUUCAGUUCAGCGAGUUUUGACAAAUGUAUUCAGCUGUGAAACCACUACCACCAAGAUUCAAUAUCUCUGUCACAGCAAAGCCCCCUUGUGCCCUUUUGCAGUCAGUUUCCCCCUGACCCGGAGAUUCUGGAAACUGCUGAUAUGAUUCGACUGAAGCCAGACUGGGUUUUGAGAAGAGAUAAGGUGGAAGAAAGCAUGAAUCCUCUGAAAGCUAUUCAGAUGGUGAUGGACACGCUUGGCAUCCCCUAUUAGUGACGCAGACGUUUCAGAGUGGGCAGUGAAAGAAGCUUAAAGCUGGUGACACGUACCUAAAGUGUCUUUUGCUCUCUUUGUACAGCUUUUAAAAUCUGACUUUGUAUUAAACUUAAAAAAGAUACAUAACAAAUAAACUUUAUACCCUUGGUUUCUUUUAUUUAAUAGCUUUACGCAUGUAACAAACUAAUGUUAUAAAAUGAUCUCAACAGUUAUUCAUGUCUGUCAUCUUGAAAUAUUGUAUUAGUUUGAAUAUAGUCACAUUCCUAAAGACAAAAGAUUAGCUUUUUAUUCCUUUUUUGUAGGUAUAUUGAGGCAUUUAUCUAAAAUAAAUCUUGGAAAUGUAAGACUCUGCCAACUCACUUAGAAGUGAGAAGAGGAUAAAAUAACCCACAAUAUCUUGGAAAACAUCCUUGUGUCUCCUGACUGACGGGACCACCUAGACAGGCAGGUGAGCCCUUUGGGUAAGUUAGAUGAAUUCAACCUAUCCCUUCAUAUACUGAAAAUCCUCAACUUUGAACUGAGUGGGGUGACCACUGACCUGGGAAGAGCAAGCUGUUGCUUAUAAUGGAAACUUGUCUAGAAACACAGCACGGGCCUGGAAACAACUCAGUGUUAAAACACAACUUGUUAUUUUCUGUAGCUCUGGGUCCCUGUCACCUGUACUGAAUUAUGUGGGCCCAAGGCCACAGAAGCCUGAUGCCAGGGCUGUGUGAAAUCUGAUAGGGUCCCAGAGUCGUCUCGAUAUGCGGGCCAAGACCGUUUUUAACUGUUUAAAAGAUAUCAGUAGUAGUUAGAAAUGGAGAGACCAGUUAACUACUUACUUAAUUAAUUUGUUGCAAGAAGGGUUAAACCCAAUUAGUGGGAAGCUGUCUGAGAUUUGGUUAGAAUAGAUGUAAAGACCUUAUUGACAUAUUAAUAUAGUGAAAUUAACUGGAAAUUUGGGGGUAACUUUUUUGCCUUUUUUUCUUCCAAUAAAGUGUGGAAUUUUCGAGAGUUUCACCUUAACCAGUUUUCUCUGGAGUCUAAAGAAUGUUGUGGCCACACAGUGUUACAAUAAAGUAUCUUUUUCUUAGUGAUAGGCUCAUAGCUAAAAGCUUUCCAGUCAGAAUUCAUCCAAGAUGGUUUCACGGAUGGAACCAGAAUUUCCCAUUUCCCCAGGGAGAGUGACAGCCACAGAUCAACACGGAGCACAGAGAACAAAGCACGCCGUCAGACUGCCUAGUCUGGGCUCUCAUCAGUCUAUAAUCAGGCACUCUGUUAAAUGCAGAGGGCCCUCAGGGGCACACGCACGUCAGAACCAACUGAUCCAAAAGCACACCCCUCACCCAAGCGCUGCUCCCAACAGUCCUCAGUGGCCGACGCAUGUCCGAAUCAACUGGCCACAGAAGGAGGAUGCCUGGUGCGUGUCCAGUGGGCAGCCUGGUGCUGGAGCUCAUCAGCUCAUCUCAAAUGCAAGUUUCUGUCUCCACCAAAUGGAAGUGAAAAUAGGCAGCCGGAGCUGAGCAGGGGAGAGACGCGGGAGUCCCCGGAACAAGUAGUUCCGGCAGACCUUGCUAGAGGCUUCAUUUGCAAUUAGAUGAAUAUGACAGGUUUUAUUUCAAUAGGAAAUAAGGAGAAACAAGAAACAAUUUUUAAAAUAUUAUGAGACAUACUUUAUAGUGUUGAUGAGGAAGUGAGGUACAAUUUCUCUCCACUUUCAACAUUUGUUGAAAAACUUAGAAAAGGCAAAUAACUUAUUGAUAUUUCACUGGUUUUAUUACAUAUAAAAAUAAGGAUAUACUAUAUUGUUUUAUUAAAGGAGACAAUAGUUCAAAAAGAUAUUUUCACCCCUGUGUUCACUGCAGCAGCAUUUACAAUAGGUGUGAUGUGUAAGCAGCCUAAGUGCCCACUGGUAGAUGAAUGGACAGAGAACAUGAAAUAUACAUAAACAUAUAUGUGAAUAUUACUCAGCCAUAAAAAAUGUAAUCUUGUCAUUUGUGACAACGUGGGUGAAGCUAGCAGGUAUUAUGCUAAGUGAACUAAGUCAGACAAGGAAAGACCAAUAUUGUAUGACCUCAUGUGGAAUCUAAAAAACAAAACAGAAUGAAAACAGACUCACAGAUACAGAAAGCUAAAGAGUGAUUGGUUGCCAUUGGGGGGUGUGAAGUAGAUGAAGAGGAUUAAGAGGUGCAAACCUCCAGCUAUAAGAUAAAUAAGCCAUAAGGGUGUAAUAUACAGCAUAAGGAAUAUGAACAAUAAUAUUGUAAUAAUUUGGGGACAGAUGGUUACUAGACUUGUGUGGUGAUCACUUAUGCAAAUGACUGUAUGCAAAUACCCCAUCACUAUGUAGUAUGCCUGGAACUAACACACUAUUGUACAUGAACUAUAUUUUAAUUAAAAAAUAAUGAAUAAA